GGCAUCAAAAAUGGGAUUAAUCCCUCUCCAGGCAUGCCCAGAGGUGACCUGGUGGCUGUCACAGCCUUGUCUUUGGGCAGAGGCGGAGGAGUGGGCACCGAGGCAGCAGGUUGCUGCCCACCCCAAGGCAUGAGAGGGGGUGAGUGGGUGCAUCUGAAUAAAAUACUAAGGCAACAGAAGGAGGGCAGAGCUGGUAAAAAUGUCCAGAGCAUCUGUGGCAAUGUGGGCAAUGAGGUGACGCCGCAAGUGGCUGUCACUUAUUUUGAGGCUUAUUGUCUCUAGUUUGCUUAAGAAACCUUGUUCUUUCUGUCCCAGGAGCCCUCUUAGGAGUUGAAGCAUUUCUGCAACCCAAAUGUCUCCUCUGAUCUGGCUCCAGCAGGGACACAGAAGCGAGUGCAGGGAGCAGAAUGGGACCCGGUGUGAGGAGGGGGAGCUGCUGGCCUCCGUGGGCUGAAAACAUCUGAUUUAAAGGUAUGUCUUCCCAUGGGAUAAUAAUCUCUCCGAGCAAGAUCUUCCUGAGCGAAGCCGGGAGGAGCAGCCAGAUGCCAGCGUGGAUGUAUGAUGAGCUGUGGACUUCCCCCUACCAUCUGAGCUCUGUUACCAGCCCGCAGCGCUCCUCCUGCCGACACCGAGCGCCUGUUCUUGCCGUCGCCCCCACACCCGGCGUCGUUAUGGUGCUGCCGUAUGGAGGGCUCAGCCGGCGACGUCUCGCUCACCGGGGCAUGGCCAGGGACCUUCUCCAUCCCUCCUGCAGCAGGGACCCCCGGCCAUGCAGGACAGUUGCCCCUGUGCCCGUGGGUUUGCAGCUUCGUGGUGAGCGUUUGCGACCUGAACUUUGCAGCGUUGUGCUGAUUCACGACGGCUUGUCACCGAAACUGCCUGAAACUGACAGAAAAAGGGACGCUGACUCAUGUGUUUGCCUUCCCCAAGCGGGGAGAAAUGUGAAAGGUGAACAAAGUAUUUAACGGGUGAUAAUUACAUUCGGUGCUGAAAAAUUCAAUCCAUAUUAAUAAGCCGGUGUGUUAUUACUAAUAGAGGCCUUUUACAAUUUAAAAAAAAAAAUAAAUAGUAUUUAAGGUUUUUAACCUUGACA
rnacentral:lncRNA from 1 species